GAGGGCGAUCUGGCUGCGACAUCUGUCACCCCAUUGAUCGCCAGGGUUGAUUCGGCUGAUCUGGCUGGCUAGGCGGGUGUCCCCUGCUAGAACCUC
rnacentral:snRNA from 1 species